rnacentral:rRNA from 1 species
UACGCCCGAUCUCGUCCGAUCUCCGAAGCUAGGCAGAGUUGGGCUUGGUUAGUAGUUGGAUGGGAGACUGCUUGGCAAUACCAGGUGCCGUAAGCCU